CAGUCGAACGAAGAUAUUAAGAAUGAGAGCUUCGGCAGGAAUUUUUCUUAUCUUAGUGGCGGACGGGUGAGUAACGUGUGGGCAACCUGCCCUGCACUGGGGAAUAAUCAUUGGAAACGAUGACUAAUACCGCAUACGGUUCCUGGGAGGCAUCUUCCGGGAAAGAAAGGAUUUAUUCGGUGCAGGAUGGGCCCGCAUCUGAUUAGCUAGUUGGUGAGAUAACAGCCCACCAAGGCGACGAUCAGUAGCCGACCUGAGAGGGUGACCGGCCACAUUGGGACUGAGACACGGCCCAAACUCCUACGGGAGGCAGCAGUGGGGAAUGUUGCACAAUGGGCGAAAGCCUGAUGCAGCAACGCCGCGUGAAGGAAGAAGGGUUUCGGCUCGUAAACUUCUAUCAACAGGGACGAAAGAAAUGACGGUACCUGAAUAAGAAGCCCCGGCUAACUACGUGCCAGCAGCCGCGGUAAUACGUAGGGGGCAAGCGUUAUCCGGAAUUACUGGGUGUAAAGGGUGAGUAGGCGGCAUGGUAAGCCAGAUGUGAAAGCCUUGGGCUUAACCCGAGGAUUGCAUUUGGAACUAUCAAGCUAGAGUACAGGAGAGGAAAGCGGAAUUCCUAGUGUAGCGGUGAAAUGCGUAGAUAUUAGGAAGAACACCAGUGGCGAAGGCGGCUUUCUGGACUGAAACUGACGCUGAGGCACGAAAGCGUGGGGAGCGAACAGGAUUAGAUACCCUGGUAGUCCACGCCGUANACGAUGAGUGCUAGGUGUCGGGGAGNAAUCCCCGGUGCCGCAGCUAACGCAAUAAGCACUCCACCUGGGGAGUACGACCGCAAGGUUGAAACUCAAAGGAAUUGACGGGGGCCC
rnacentral:rRNA from 1 species